rnacentral:rRNA from 1 species
GUGGGGUAAUGGCCUACCAAGGCUAUGGCGGGUAGCGGGUCUGAGGGGAUGAUCCGUCACACUGGGACUGAGACACUGCCCAGACUCCUACGGGAGGCUGCAGUCGAGAAUCUUCCGCAACGGGCGAAAGCCUGACGGAGCGACACCGCGUGCAGGAUGAAGGCCUUAGGGUUGUAAACUGCUGUCACGCUAUAGGAAACCCCAGGGGUUAAUAGCCUCUGGGCUGACCAAAGCGAAAGGAAGUGCCGGCUAACUCCGUGCCAGCAGCCGCGGUAAUACGGAGGGCGCAAACGUUGUUCGGAAUCACUGGGCAUAAAGAGCACGUAGGCGGUUCGUUAAGUCGAAUGUGAAAUCCCCCGGCUCAACCGGGGAACUGCAUCCGAUACUGGCGAACUAGAGGACGGUAGGGGUAAGUGGAACUCCAGGUGGAACGGUGAAAUGUGUAGAUAUCUGGAGGAACACCGGUGGCGAAAGCGGCUUACUGGACCGUCUCUGACGCUGAGGUGCGAAAGCUAGGGUAGCGAACGGGAUUAGAUACCCCGGUAGUCCUAGCCGUAAACGUUGGGUACUAGGUGUGGCGGAUUCAUUGACAUCUGCCGUGCCGAAGCUAACGCAUUAAGUA